rnacentral:rRNA from 1 species
GACGAACGCUGGCGGCGUGCUUAACACAUGCAAGUCGAACGGAAAGGCCCUUCGGGGUACUCGAGUGGCGAACGGGUGAGUAACACGUGGGUGAUCUGCCCUGCACUUUGGGAUAAGCCUGGGAAACUGGGUCUAAUACCGAAUAUGACCAUGCGCCUCCUGGUGUGUGGUGGAAAGCUUUUGCGGUGUGGGAUGGGCCCGCGGCCUAUCAGCUUGUUGGUGGGGUAAUGGCCUACCAAGGCGACGACGGGUAGCCGGCCUGAGAGGGUGACCGGCCACACUGGGACUGAGAUACGGCCCAGACUCCUACGGGAGGCAGCAGUGGGGAAUAUUGCACAAUGGGCGCAAGCCUGAUGCAGCGACGCCGCGUGAGGGAUGACGGCCUUCGGGUUGUAAACCUCUUUCAGCACAGACGAAGCGCAAGUGACGGUAUGUGCAGAAGAAGGACCGGCCAACUACGUGCCAGCAGCCGCGGUAAUACGUAGGGUCCGAGCGUUGUCCGGAAUUACUGGGCGUAAAGAGCUCGUAGGUGGUUUGUCGCGUUGUUCGUGAAAACUCACAGCUUAACUGUGGGCGUGCGGGCGAUACGGGCAGACUUGAGUACUGCAGGGGAGACUGGAAUUCCUGGUGUAGCGGUGGAAUGCGCAGAUAUCAGGAGGAACACCGGUGGCGAAGGCGGGUCUCUGGGCAGUAACUGACGCUGAGGAGCGAAAGCGUGGGGAGCGAACAGGAUUAGAUACCCUGGUAGUCCACGCCGUAAACGGUGGGUACUAGGUGUGGGUUUCCUUCCUUGGGAUCCGUGCCGUAGCUAACGCAUUAAGUACCCCGCCUGGGGAGUACGGCCGCAAGGCUAAAACUCAAAGAAAUUGACGGGGGCCCGCACAAGCGGCGGAGCAUGUGGAUUAAUUCGAUGCAACGCGAAGAACCUUACCUGGGUUUGACAUGCACAGGACGACUGCAGAGAUGUGGUUUCCCUUGUGGCCUGUGUGCAGGUGGUGCAUGGCUGUCGUCAGCUCGUGUCGUGAGAUGUUGGGUUAAGUCCCGCAACGAGCGCAACCCUUGUCCUAUGUUGCCAGCGGGUUAUGCCGGGGACUCGUAGGAGACUGCCGGGGUCAACUCGGAGGAAGGUGGGGAUGACGUCAAGUCAUCAUGCCCCUUAUGUC